rnacentral:tRNA from 1 species
GGGGGUAUAGCUCAGUUGGGAGAGCGUCUGGUUCGCAUUCAGAAGGUCGGGGGUUCGAAUCCCCCUAUCUCCACCA